CCUACGGGAGGCAGCAGUGAGGAAUAUUGGUCAAUGGACGAGAGUCUGAACCAGCCAAGUAGCGUGAAGGAUGACUGCCCUAUGGGUUGUAAACUUCUUUUAUAAAGGAAUAAAACGAGGCACGGGUGCCGUUUUGCAUGUACUUUAUGAAUAAGGAUCGGCUACCGCCGUGCCAGCAGCCGCGGUAAUACGGAGGAUCCGAGCGUUAUCCGGAUUUAUUGGGUUUAACGGGAGCGUAGAUGGUUUGUUAAGUCAGUUGUGAAAGUUUGCGGCUCAACCGUAAAAUUGCAAUUGAUACUGGCAGUCUUGAGUACAGUUGAGGUCGGCGGAAUUCGUGGUGUAUCGGUGAAAUGCUUAGAUAUCACGCAGAACCCCGAUUGCGAAGGCAGCUUUCUCAGCUGUGACUGACAUUGAUGCUCGAAAGUGUGGGUAUCAAACAGGAUUAGAUACCCCAGUAGUC
rnacentral:rRNA from 1 species